rnacentral:rRNA from 1 species
UACGUAGGGGGCUAGCGUUGUCCGGAAUCAUUGGGCGUAAAGCGCGUGUAGGCGGCCCGGUAAGUCCGCUGUGAAAGUCUAGGGCUCAACCCUGGGAUGCCGGUGGAUACUGUCGGGCUCGAGUCCGGAAGAGGAGUGUGGAAUUCCUGGUGUAGCGGUGAAAUGCGCAGAUAUCAGGAGGAACACCAAUGGCGAAGGCAGCACUCUGGGACGUGACUGACGCUGAGACGCGAAAGCGUGGGGAGCAAACAGG